UACGGGGGGGGGUAAGCGUUGUUCGGAAUUACUGGGCGUAAAGGGCUCGUAGGCGGCCAACUAAGUCAGACGUGAAAUCCCUCAGCUUAACUGGGGAACUGCGUCUGAUACUGGAUGGCUUGGAUUCGGGAGAGGAAUGCGGAAUUCCGGGUGUAGCGGUGGAAUGCGUAGAGAUCCGGAAGAACACCGGUGGCGAAGGCGGCCUGCUGGGCAGUUUAGCUGACACUGAGGCGCGACAGCGUGGGGAGCAAACAGG
rnacentral:rRNA from 1 species